CAUUCAGUCGACGGAGCCAGUUAUAAAAAAAAAACUUUAAAACAGUCGAAGCCCGAAGGAGCCAUUUCAUUUAAAUAAAGAAUAAAGAAAAUAUUUAUUGUGUUUUUUUUUUUAACUUCAUAAUAAAAUUGAGUAAAAUGCUGUUAAUAAUACACAACAUACCAGGACACAUGCAUUUUAACGAUAUUAGGGAUUUUCUAAGUACCAAAAGUGGUAUAGAACAAAUAAUCUUGGACAAUCUUAUGUAUGAAAAGUUUGGUGAAAAACAACAAGUUACGGUUGGGCUAGCUGAUGAAAGUGAUGCUGCUAUUUUUGUUAGAAAAAUAAACAGCCUGUAUUUAGAUGGAGAACCAAUAUAUAUUGAAAAAGUUCAACAGAAAAUGGAAUCAGAACAGCCAUAUAGGCCUCCACAAUGUUUUAAGACACCUUAUAAAAAUGUGGAAUCUCCGAUGGCACAGAAUCAUGCAUCCAGCCCUAAUCUAAACAACAUGCAUGCAUUAUUGAAACCAGUUCCACCACCACUUGGAAACAUGUCUGUUGGGACGCAAAUGAUACAUAUGCAACAGCCAGUGCCGAUUCUAACACCAGCUAUUCAAAACGACUACCCAACACUGUUUCAAAGUCAUGCACCACUCUACCAAUGGCAUAACUAUAUCCAGAACGCAAAUGGCAUGCAAUCAGAGAUACAUGCAGCUUUUGCGGCCAAUAGCCAUAAUUAUAUGAUGCCGCAGCAUAAGUCAAAUGCAGGUGUUCAAGAGAAUAGAGAUGAGAAAACUCAUUCUGACCAGGCACCAUUUCAAAAUUGCUUUGAGCCUAGGUACUCUGAUGAAAUCAUUCUUAAUGACAACACUCAUAAUAAUGAUCAAAUUCCACAACCACAGCUCUCCAGCAGCGAAAGAAAAGAACCGAAUUAUCCAUUCUCAUCGUCAAAGAUACCAAAUGUCGCCAAUCUAAAGUCACCAGAGUGUGAUGUUAAAUCAAAUUAUGUAAAAAAUCUUAUGAAUAGUAGACGCUUCUUUUACCUGAACUAUGCAGCGGCCCAAAUAGCCAAUGAAACUAUGUCGUAUUUGGAAAUCUUUUCAAAUGAUUCCACUGAUCUUUACAAUAAUGUAAAAGAUACAAUUCAUGCCCGUUUAAAAGGCCUGUAUGUUAAUGGAUCAUGUCUAUCUCAAGAACAAGCUGUUGCUAAAUAUAGAGAAAAAUAUCCUGCAAGUAAGGACAGAUCAUUUAUAAAAUUUUUGGCGACGCAGAAAGGAUUUUCUGGAAAAUUCGUUCGUGAAUCCAAUACUCCUAACCAUCAUCAAAUUUUGAAUGUUACAAAUUCGAUAAUAAAAUCCUACGGUAUACCUAAAAAGGUAAAACAUAAAAAUCCUUAUAUAUUGGGCUCCACAGCAAAAAAAUUCGCAAAUGAAAUUGUUAUGAAUAUGAAAUCGACAACAAUUCAAAACUAUCCAUACAAACUCCUAAUGGUUACACUUAAGAGGAUUAUUCGUACCCGUUUAGAUGAUAUAUAUCCUAAUAGUGACUGCUGUUCUUUCAAACAAGCUGUUGCGGACUAUAGAAAAAAAUUUCCAGAGAGCAGUGAUAACAAACUUAUCAAAGUUGCAGAACAAGAUGAAUAUUUUCAACUGAGGAGAAUCGCUGGAAAAGGAAAACAACCUCAACAACAAUUGAAAUAUGAAAAUAACGAAAAUCAUAAAAGCACCCAGAUACCACAAAAUCCAUACAUUAAACAAAGGCUACAUGAUAAUGAAGAAGUACAGAUAUUGGAGCAGAAUCUGUCAGAUGAAAAAGAUGAAGAUAAAGGAAUUGAUGAUAUACUGCGAGAAGUACAUGAUAAUGAUGGUGAUGUACUAAGACCUAUUGACAGGAUAGCGCUGAACAAAGAGAUGAGCGAUAUUAGGAACCUGCUUAAUGAUGUUGAUGAUAAAGGUGAUCCACAGAGUUUAACCAGACUUUCUUGGAUGUUUUUCUGUGAUGACUUUGAGGAGAUUAUUUCAAUACGUGCCGAAGAGCUUAUGCGGAACAAACCAAGCAAUCUGUUCGUUCAAAUUGAAUGCUGCUCAAAAAAAAAAAUAUGUGGACAUGGAAGCAAUUGAGGCAUUCUUGAAGCAACGUUUCGGAAUUAUAGUUAAUAUUAUCGAAGAAACAGGGGUAUGGAUAUUCCGUUGUGAAAGCUUUUACGUUUUUAACAAUCUGAUCAAAAUGGGUAAAAAUCUAAUUGGAAAUGUGUGGGUAUCAUUUAUACCAUUAAAUUUUUCAUUACAUGAGAAUCGGUCAAAAUAUGAACAAAUGCAGGUAAUGAUUAGAUCGCCAUUUUGUUCACAAGAACGGGUUGGUGUUAAACCCAAUGUCACUAAUGAUGAUAAUUUGGUUAAGUAUGAAGAUGUUAUUGUACGUAACAAUAAAAGAGCUAAGAAAGGAAAUUUACCAGAAAAUGAUUUCAAUGAUAGGAUUGACAUGCCGAAAGUAACUGUAGAUAUGACGGAUGACGUACAAGAUGAAAUUAAAACAAAUGCCGAUGUAACUCCUGUCAAGAACUUUAACCCUGCAGUACUGGAUAAUAAUAAUGAAGAUAAUAAAGAUAUUAAUGAUGAUAGUAAUUUACAUUACACUGAUAAAAUCGACAAAUCUAUGGAUUUCCAAGAAAAUAGUUCGAAUGGAAAUAAUCAGAUAACUUCUGAAAAUAAUCCAAAAUGUGAUAAAUAUGAAACAGAGACAAUGAAUAGAUCAACUAAAGAAGUAAAUCAUAUUGAACAAAUGAAACACUCUGUUAUACACGAAGAUGAUUUGGAAGAUUUUUAAGUGCAAGUGAAAAUGUACUAGAUUGUUCUUAUGUUCAUUGAUAAUUCUUUUAUAGUUUCCUUACAACAGAUGAAAUGGGUAUAGUAAAUACAACUUCUUUUAUAGAAAACAAAUAAAAUGAAUUACUGCAAAAUAAUUCUUAAAAUACAGCUUAAUGUUAUAUAUGCUAAAUGAUUUAGUGAAUUAAUUCAAAGAUUUAUAUAAUACAAAGGUUUGUUCAUUUAAAUGAGUAAAAAGGAUGUAUGUAAGUAAGAUUCGAAAUGCAAUUAAGGAAGACUUAUUGCAUAAAAUAAUAAAGUUUGAUUAGGAAUAAUGAUAUAAAUUCUAAUAGAAAUUAAUUUGAAUAUUUACACAGUACAUUAAGUAAGUAUUUUAACAAUAUAUGAAACAUAAAACAUUCAAACAGGCAAAACAGUGUCUAUUAAAAAUGAGACCUUAAUAAAUAACAGUUUUAUGUUAAAAAUAGCUAUUUGUAUUUAUAUCUUAUAUAUUUCAUAUAUUUCUAUAAUAAUAUAUUCACCAUCAUCAGACUUGACCAUAACAUAGUUAUGAACAAGUAAUUGUCGUAGUCGAAUAUGAUGAUCAAUGGGACUCCUUAACGACUUACAGUAAGGGUGCAAUCUGUGACAGAAUUUCUAACUGUCUGUAAUCAAAUUGCAAAGCGCUUACGUUCAUUGCUGCAUUGAAAAAUUUAGUAUAUCUACACAUAUUUAGACAAAUUGUUUGUUAGUGUACUUUACAUUCACUAAAAAUCCAAAAAAAAAGGAUUAAAAAAACACAACCGACUUCAACAAAAGUAUUCUAAAACAAUAGAUAUAAUAUUCACAAAAAAUUCUAAUAAUUUUUGGAGUCGGUGUCAUCCAAGAUAGGUUUGUAACUACAUAAAUAGCUAUAGGUGCGAUGUGCUUGAGUCGAGAGGAGGCGAGAGAAGGUCGCAGCGAAAGGACACCGAUUCCAAAAAUAACAAUAAUCGUACCUAGAAUUAGAUUAAGUAAUUAGAUUGUAUAAAAAUAUGCUAAAAAUAUUAUUUUUAUACAAUCUAAUUUAUACUUUUUAGUAAAUAUUAUAUAUAUUGUUUUGGAAUAGUGUUUUUGAAGUCGGUUCUUUUUUUUUUGUUAAGAUGUGUAUAGUAUCCGUGUGACAAAUAUAUAAAUUAUACAAAAUAUAUAUAUAUAUAUAUAUAUAUCCAAUAGUCUAUACACAUAGAUACUAUAACAACAAUUUUGUAGUUACACGACUUCUUUUAAUCCCCAUAACUUUUGUCCACCGCUGCUGAGCAAUAUGCACCUUUUUUUACUUUUGUUCUAGAGAAAUUUAAAUGUAGGCAACAUUUAAAUGACAUAAUAUAUUUUAUUUAUGUACCUACAUUCGAGGGCACAGGCCCUUCUAUUUUGUCCGUGUCCUUUGUUCUUGUAUCUCUUUUUAAUAUAAUAAUAUACUUCUUUACAUAAUUAGUGUGUUAUGAACGUUCUACCACGACACAACUGUCAAUUAUUGGUAAUAUCUAUUGUAAAAGUUGCUAAAUGGAGCCACAUAGAAAAUACAUGUCCCGUUUUUGUA